GCAACAGCUUAGAUGUCUUCUUGUGGCGUGCAUGACAAUUUUAAUCCUAUUCUUUCACCUGCAACCCUGGUGGUGUCAAAUGGACUUGGGAGCGAAUUUCAAAGCGCUAACCAACAGGAAAAAAAAAAAAUGAAGUGAAGAAGACGAGAGGGGGCCGAACUACACAGGAGUGAACUCCUGCUGAGGAGCUGGCCCGCUGCAGUAAUGAGGGUCGCCCCUUAAUGGAACGGGUGGAAGGGGGUGUCUCAUCCGACCCUGAUGGAAGUGGCAGCUCCCAGCGGGCCACAUUAGUACAGGGUAUGUGUCAGUGAGUCAAUGACAAACUACUGCGUUGCUAAUAAAACACAAUUAUGUAAUAUAUUAA